UACGAAGGGGGGCUAGCGUUGCUCGGAUUGACUGGGCGUAAAGGGCGCGUAGGCGGUUCGUACAGUCAGACGUGAAAUUCCUGGGCUCAACCUGGGGGCUGCGUUUGAUACGUGCGGACUUGAGUGCGGAAGAGGGUCGUGGAAUUCCCAGUGUAGAGGUGAAAUUCGUAGAUAUUAGGAAGAACACCAGUGGCGAAGGCGGCUCACUGGUCCGGUACUGACGCUGAGGUGCGAAAGCGUGGGGAGCAAACAGG
rnacentral:rRNA from 1 species